CAUGCAUUCUCUGUGCACGGCAUUUGACGGGAGGUCUUAAACCCAGCUGUCUGUCACCACGGUCCGCAUGGUCAAGCACUGGCUCUGCCGAUAUCUGCCUGCUCUCCCUGGC
rnacentral:lncRNA from 14 species